GGAUAUAUGGCAUAGUAGUUUGAGUGUUGGACUAGGACUCUGGAGACCAGGGUUCGAUCCCCAGCUUGGCCG